rnacentral:rRNA from 1 species
GUGGGGAAUAUUUGACAAUGGACGAAAGUCUGAUCGAGCGAUGCCGCGUGAGUGAUGAAGGCCUUCGGGUUGUAAAGCUCUUUAGCCGAUGACGAUAAUGACGGUAAUCGGAGAAUAAGCACCGGCAAACUUCGUGCCAGCAGCCGCGGUAAUACGAAGGGUGCUAGCGUUGUUCGGAUUUACUGGGCGUAAAGAGUACGUAGGCGGUUUUAUUAGUUAGACGUGAAAGCCCAGGGCUUAACCCUGGAAUAGCGUUUAAAACUGUAAGACUAGAGUAUGGGAUAGGAUAGUGGAAUUCCGAGUGUAGAGGUGAAAUUCGUAGAUAUUCGGAGGAACACCAGAGGCGUAGGCGACUAUCUGGACCAUUACUGACGCUGAGGUACGAAAGCGUGGGGAUCAAACAGGAUUAGAAACCCCAGUAGUCC